UGGGCCAAAGGCAGUGCUCAACCGCUGAGCCACCCGGGCUGCCCCUCAAAAGCACUGAGUCGGGAACUGGGAAUAUCUUAAGAUAUCUUAGAGUCUAAUGGCGAUGAGACAAGCCUUCAUUUUCCAAAUGAAUCGUUUCUAAUUCUCUUUCAAGGGAAUUCAUCUGACUGACCUGCUGAAGAACAAAAAAAAUUCCCGAUUAAAAAAGGAAGCCCUUGAGUUGCUCUACUUUAUUUUGACAAAUUGAUGCUAGGCAGAAAUCUUAACCCUUGGAAGAAAGUGGAGUUCACUCAUUGAAGGAAAAUAAUAUAAUUCAGUGCACGGAUUACAUUUAAGUAGUAUGGUUUUUAAUCACCACUGCUUAUAGAGAACAGAUUCAAUAAGGCACCUGGCUUUCAAACAUCAGUGCCAUUAUACAUCCAGGACAUAAGCCCAUGCCCAUAUUUACAUAUAUAUGCAUAACCAGUAAGUACGCAUCCCUGAAAGAAAACUUCCACAAAAUAUUUAUCCUUACCAUGAGCCAUGUACACUGUUAUUUUCUAGCAUUUUUUAUGAAUAAAAAAGGCUGGUG